UACAGAGGGGGCAAGCGUUAUUCGGAAUUAUUGGGCGUAAAGGGCGCGUAGGCGGCUUGGCAAGUGGAUGGUGAAAUCCCUCGGCUUAACCGAGGAACUGCCGUCCAAACUGCUUUGCUUGAGACCGGGAGAGGUGAGUGGAAUUCCCAGUGUAGCGGUGAAAUGCGUAGAUAUCUGGAGGAACACCGGUGGCGAAGGCGGCAUCCUGGACCGGCAUUGACGCUGAGGCGCGAAAGCGUGGGGAGCGAACAGG
rnacentral:rRNA from 1 species